rnacentral:rRNA from 1 species
UACGUAGGGUGCAAGCGUUGUCCGGAAUUAUUGGGCGUAAAGAGCUCGUAGGCGGUUCGUCGCGUCGGCUGUGAAAUCCCGAGGCUCAACCUCGGGUCUGCAGUCGAUACGGGCGGACUGGAGUUCGGCAGGGGAGACUGGAAUUCCUGGUGUAGCGGUGAAAUGCGCAGAUAUCAGGAGGAACACCGGUGGCGAAGGCGGGUCUCUGGGCCGAUACUGACGCUGAGAAGCGAAAGCUAGGGGAGCAAACAGG